CAGAGGGUGCAAGCGUUGUUCGGAAUUAUUGGGCGUAAAGCGCGUGUAGGCGGCAUGGCAAGUCGGGUGUGAAAGCCCUCAGCUUAACUGAGGAAGUGCGCCCGAAACUGCUUUGCUUGAGUGCCGGAGAGGAUGGCGGAAUUCCCCAAGUAGAGGUGAAAUUCGUAGAUAUGGGGAGGAACACCGGUGGCGAAGGCGGCCAUCUGGACGGUAACUGACGCUGAGACGCGAAAGCGUGGGUAGCAAACAGGAUUAGAUACCCUGGUAGUCCACGCCGUAAACGAUGAGAACUAGGUGUUGCGGGUGUUGACCCCCGCGGUGCCGUCGCUAACGCAUUAAGUUCUCCGCCUGGGAAGUACGGCCGCAAGGCUA
rnacentral:rRNA from 1 species